CACGUAGGGGACGAGCGUUGUCCGGAUUCAUUGGGCGUAAAGCGCGCGUAGGCGGCCCGGUAAGUCCGUUGUAAAAGUCGAAGGCUCAACCUUCGAAAGCCGAUGGAUACUGCCGGGCUAGAGUCCGGAAGAGGCGAGUAGAAUUCCUGGUGUAGCGGUGGAAUGCGCAGAUAUCAGGAGGAACACCGGUGGCGAAGGCGGGAUCCUGGGCCAGUACUGACGCUGAGGAGCGAAAGCGUGGGGAGCAAACAGG
rnacentral:rRNA from 1 species